rnacentral:rRNA from 1 species
GACGAACGCUGGCGGCGUGCUUAACACAUGCAAGUCGAACGGAAAGGCCCUGCUUUUGUGGGGUGCUCGAGUGGCGAACGGGUGAGUAACACGUGAGUAACCUGCCCUUGACUUUGGGAUAACUUCAGGAAACUGGGGCUAAUACCGGAUAGGAGCUCCUGCUGCAUGGUGGGGGUUGGAAAGUUUCGGCGGUUGGGGAUGGACUCGCGGCUUAUCAGCUUGUUGGUGGGGUAGUGGCUUACCAAGGCUUUGACGGGUAGCCGGCCUGAGAGGGUGACCGGCCACAUUGGGACUGAGAUACGGCCAAGACUCCGACGGGAGGCAGCAGUGGGGAAUAUUGCACAAUGGGCGGAAGCCUGAUGCAGCAACGCCGCGUGCGGGAUGACGGCCUUCGGGUUGUAACCCGCUUUCGCCUGUGACGAAGCGUGAGUGACGGUAAUGGGUAAAGAAGCACCGGCUAACUACGUG